UGGGGAAUUGUUCGCAGUGGGCGCAAGCCUGACGACGCAACGCCGCGUGGAGGAUGAAGGUCUUCGGAUUGUAAACUCCUGUUGAUCGGGACGAACAACCAUCGGGAUAACACCCCGGAGGUCUGACGGUACCGAUUGAGGAAGCCCCGGCUAACUCCGUGCCAGCAGCCGCGGUAAUACGUAGGGGGCAAGCGUUGUCCGGAAUCAUUGGGCGUAAAGCGCGCGUAGGCGGCCCGAUAAGUCCGCUGUAAAAGUCAACGGCUCAACUGUUGAAUGCCGGUGGAUACUGUCGGGCUAGAGUCCGGAAGAGGCAAGUGGAAUUCCUGGUGUAGCGGUGGAAUGCGCAGAUAUCAGGAGGAACACCCAUAGCGAAGGCAGCUUGCUGGGACGGUACUGACGCUAAGGCGCGAAAGCGUGGGGAGCGA
rnacentral:rRNA from 1 species